UAAGCGGAGGAAAAGAAACCAACAGGGAUUGCCCUAGUAACGGCGAGUGAAGCGGCAACAGCUCAAAUUUGAAAUCUGGCUACUUCGUAGUCCGAGUUGUAAUUUGUAGAGGAUGCUUUUGGUGAAGUGCUUUCUGAGUUCCCUGGAACGGGACGCCAGAGAGGGUGAGAGCCCCGUACAGUUAGCAACUGAUCCUUUGUAUAGCUCCUUCGACGAGUCGAGUAGUUUGGGAAUGCUGCUCUAAAUGGGAGGUAUAUCUCUUCUAAAGCUAAAUAUAGGCUAGAGACCGAUAGCGCACAAGUAGAGUGAUCGAAAGAUGAAAAGCACUUUGAAAAGAGAGUUAAACAGCACGUGAAAUUGUUGAAAGGGAAGCGCCUAUGACCAGACUUGUCUCUAUCAGUUUUGGUAGUUUUCGGACUGCUUUACUCUGUUAGUACAGGCCAACAUCAGUUUGUUGUCGGGGAGAAAGGCUUAGGGAAUGUGGCUCCUUCGGGAGUGUUAUAGCCCUUUGCAUAAUACCCUUCGGCAGACUGAGGACCGCGCUUCGGCAAGGAUGUUGGCGUAAUGGUCAUCAGCGACCCGUCUUGAAACACGGACCAAGGAGUCAACCUUAUAUGCGAGUGUUUGGGUGUAAAACCCCAGCGCGUAAUGAACGUGAACGUAGGUGAGAGCUUCGGCGCAUCAUCGACCGAUUCUGAUGUUCUCGGAUGGAUUUGAGUAAGAGCAUAUAGGGUUGGACCCGAAAGAAGGUGAACUAUGCUUGUAUAGGGUGAAGCCAGAGGAAACUCUGGUGGAGGCUCGCAGCGGUUCUGACGUGCAAAUCGAUCGUCAAAUAUGAGCAUGGGGGCGAAAG
rnacentral:rRNA from 1 species